rnacentral:rRNA from 1 species
GACGAACGCUGGCGGCGUGCCUAAUACAUGCAAGUAGAACGCACAGUUUAUACCGUAGCUUGCUACACCAUAGACUGUGAGUUGCGAACGGGUGAGUAACGCGUAGGUAACCUGCCUGGUAGCGGGGGAUAACUAUUGGAAACGAUAGCUAAUACCGCAUAAUAUUAAUUAUUGCAUGAUAAUUAAUUGAAAGGUGCAAUUGCACCACUACCAGAUGGACCUGCGUUGUAUUAGCUAGUAGGUGAGGUAACGGCUCACCUAGGCGACGAUACAUAGCCGACCUGAGAGGGUGAUCGGCCACACUGGGACUGAGACACGGCCCAGGCUCCUACGGGAGGCAGCAGUAGGGAAUCUUCGGCAAUGGACGAAAGUCUGACCGAGCAACGCCGCGUGAGUGAAGAAGGUUUUCGGAUCGUAAAGCUCUGUUGUAAGAGAAGAACGGGUGUGAGAGUGGAAAGUUCACACUGUGACGGUAUCUUACCAGAAAGGGACGGCUAACUACGU